UCCUGCAAAGUGGCCCAGAAUGGUGGGGAUGUGUUUCCCAUGGGACAAGACAGGCGUGAGCUCCUGCAAAGGGGCCCAGAAUGGCGGGGAAGCGUUUCCUGUGGGACAAGACAGGCGUGAGCUCCUGCAAAGGGGCCCAGAAUGGCGGGGAAGCGUUUCCCGUGGGACAAGACAGGCGUGAGCUCCUGCAAUGGGGCCCAGAAUGGCGGGGGAGCGUUUCCCGUGGGACAAGACAGGCGUGAGCUCCUGCAAAGGGGCCCAGAAUCGUGGGGAAGCGUUUCCUGUGGGACAAGACAGGCGUGAGCUCCUGCAAAGGGGCCCAGAAUGGUGGGGAAGCAGAACUUCUGCCUCCAACUCACUUUCUCACCGUGCAACUGCGGAUCCAGAGGAAUCUCUGCAUAGUCCAAGCCUGGAGGGAGAGCGACUGACAGCCAUGGUCUGGUCACACGCCUGCCUGAGAGCUGCACGGGAGCCGGCGAGGAAAAGCCCUUGCUGCUUCCAGUGUAAGGUCUGCCUGGAUGAUCAAAACAGAUGGGAAGGAGCCAUGGUGGGGCAAUGAUCCUGUUCUGUUGCCUCCUGGAGAUUCAAGCAUUAUAUAUGGAGAGCUAUCAUCUCUACCCCUCCUCCCGGUUUACUCUCAUGGUGAGCUCAGGUAGAGUUUAGCAGGGAUGUUCAUGUGAAUAUCGUCUGUGUUCGUGAAUAGGCUCGUAUUUCAGUUGCAAGCAACAUGAUAACCUUAAAGUUCAGUUGCUGGUUAAUAACUGUCUUUUUUAUUAAGUUGAUACUGAACUUGAUGUCUUUUUGCAGUACUAACAGAGAUUACUGGUGCUACCUUUUAGCUUUUGAUCAUUUAUGCAAGCCUAGAUCUUUAGCUUUACGUUGUAAAAGGGGUAUUUUUUUCAACAUUUUUUUGGUGAGAGUAUUAAAGUUGACAUUAUUAUGAUCACAAGUGUAAACAGGUAUAUAAGGAAGUGGCGAUACAUUGUUAAGACUGCUGUUAUUCAUGAUGCUUAGCCAAAUGGAGGUGCAAUUAAUACUGCCAUGUAGAACUGGAAUAACGUCAGCUCAGGAACAGCAAGUUUAGAUAGUUUGACUGUAGUGAAUUUUCAUGAAUGGAAUAGUUAAUCAUUUUAGUGGAUCUUGGGGGUCAAUUCAGGCUGUUUUACUUGAUCCACUUCUUAUCAUUAUCCUAACAAAGUCUUCUGAGAUAACACAGCACUGAUAGUUGCUAACAGACUUUAUAUCUACCACGUUAUUAGCAUUUUAUCUUGAUACACUGAUAAAAUAAGCUUCAGGAAUACUUAAAAGAUUGCAAUGGCUUCCAGCUGCCAAAUGCUAGAUUUAAUUAUUUUUUAGGACCAACAUGAGGGUUUAGACACACCACUUGUGGUGCAGCACACAUGUAUUAUCCAAACUGAAAUUAGCAAUUCAACUGAAGUCCAUGUAGAGUCGAAAAAUGUGAAUAUUUGGAGAUGAUCUAGCUCACUUUAUUUUGUAGAAAAGAAAACAGAUUCAGGGAAAGGGCAUGCAUUGCCUAAGGUGAUUCAGCAGGUUUGGAGCAGAAAUGCAAUACAAUCUCUGUUCUUUUGCUUCUCAGAUCCAGAAUUUUUUCACAGUACUGAACUACUUAUGUUUCUGAUUCCUUAUUUUUUCUGUUUUAUAUUUUGCCAAUAUUGUCUUACCAAGAUCCUAUUCUUUACCCCAAAUAUUUAAAUUCAUUACCACUAUUGUCUCUUUAUAAGUAAAAGUACUAGUUGUUAUUAUAAAUGAUUAUUCGAUCACUUUUCAUUUUUUUUUGGGUCCAGCACAAAGUUAGUAACAAAUAAACAUUAUAGGCCUUGGCAAUCCAAGGGGAGCUCAAGUCCUCCAGGGCACGUCAGGAAAAGGCUAAACGACAGCUGAGCUUCGAGUGGACAGAAUACAGCUCUCAUACGGACUGUUGAGUAUUUGAUGUUCUUCAACAAUUUCAUUCAUCUUCAGUUUUUUCCUCUUUGAAGUGAUGGAUUUAGUCCUUGCUAUACUCGACUUUCAAGUUUCUUUUGAAAUAAUUAUAGAUUCACAGGAAGUUGCAAAAGGUACAGGGAUGUCUUAGGUACUCUUCACUAAUUCUCCCAACGGUGACAUCUCGCAUAGCCAUAGAGCAUAUCAAAACCUGGAAACUGACAUAGGUACAAUUCAGAAAGCUUGCUCAGAUCACAACCAUUUUGUACACAUUUGUUUUUGUAUGUAUGUGUGUGUGUAUUUGUGUGCAUGUGUUCUGUGCAUUUUUAUCUCGUGUAGAUCUCUGUAACUACAACCUCGACAGUCAAGAUACAGAACUGUAGCCUCACCGCCAGGCUCCAACUUGCAAUCUUUGUGGACACUCUGACACAUUUUCCUCCAUCCCUUCCCCUUGGCAACCCCAUAGUCUGUUCUCCAUCUUUACAAUUUUAUUUCUAUAAUUCAUAUAAAUGUAAUUGUACAAAAUCGUAUUUUUGAAGGGAAGAAACAAGUCACAGAUAUUUUUGUUAGCACUGCAAAAUAAUCUUUAAUGCUAAUUUAUUCUAUGUUCUAUUUGUCUCAAAAAAUGUGCUUUGUUCUUUCCCAUAUUUUCUGAUAUCAGGAUAGGAAAUCAAUAGCAAACAAAACAUAAUUCCAUUCAUUUUUUUCCACAGCUUGUUUCUCACUGCUGUUUCCUAACGGUUAUUGUUCCAUUUACUCUUUCUCUCUGUUUUCCAUCACAUAAAAGUAACUUUGUGUUCCUUAUCUCUUCUAAGAAAACUUGGUAAUGAGUCUUUAAUUGAAGCCCAGACCACCCUUGUUUUGAUUUUGUGUUAUGGGU
rnacentral:lncRNA from 1 species